UUAAAAAAAAUAAUAAAAAAAAAAAAAAAUAUUUUGGAAAACACAAAUCCCCUUUUCACAAUAUGAACGCUCGAUGAUUUAUUUUAUAAUGCAAAUUUGGGAUUUUGUUGUUCACUUGCCUAAUAACUUUUAGCAUUGUAUGAUUGGGUAGCAUUUGCAUUGUUUAAUGUCUCCCGAAAAGUCCACCAAACAAUUCAACUGUUUGUUUUAGUUCGUUCCUUUGCUGUUCCCAUAAGGUCACAAACGACUCUGACUGUCUCUAGACGUCUUAUUGCGUCAAAUAAUUCCAACUGUGACCUUGACCUUUGUCUUCAAAAAUUAAUAGGAUUCUAGAUUUUCAUAAGGACUAAAAACGAAUCAAGUACGGUCAAAUUCCUAGAACGUUGUUAAAUAUAGAGUGUCAACAAGUGUGUUACGGACGGAAAGGCGGACCGAGGGUAAAGAAACCCUCGAAUUUUGUAGGCGAGAGAAUAAACUUGAACCCAUUGGAAUCGGAAAUGCAGACAGAUGUUAUUUUACACGAAGACAAUGGGGUUCAAAUCGUCAAAAUGUCAACUAAAGCAAAGUUUGUUUGUAUCGUUCUUUAAAUGUCGUUUAAACUUUUUG
rnacentral:lncRNA from 1 species